GGACGGGGUCAUCGCUCUCAAUCGAGAUAACCAGUCAACAGAUGAGCACUUGCCUGAUCAGAGGUCUCAUUUGUACGAUUGGACUGCCCAAUGCUUUGACCCAUGACUCCACCACAGGCCAGGUCUGCUGGGCCGAUGCAGGGACCAAGCGUCUGGAGUGUAUAUCACCUAACGGGACAGGGAGACGUGUGGUCCACAGUAACCUGAACUACCCCUUCAGCAUGGUCGCCUUCACCCAAUCACGUACUAUUACACAGACUGGAGGAGGUAAAGCAGCAUAGCACAUGCAUGUACAAAACCAUAUGACCACCAGAAUCAUAUCUCCCUGGGAGGAGGUAAAGCAGCAUAGCACAUGCAUGUACAAAACCAUAUGACCACCAGAAUCAUAUCUCCCUGCCAGAUAGUGUUGUGUUAAUGAAAGUUCCUGUAUUACACUAUUACAGUUUUUGUGUCACACUAGACCUUGUGCUCCAUUCACAUCCAUUUAUACACAGUACAAAGAAUACAAAAUCAGCCACAUGAUUUGCAGUGGACUAGAUAAUUUAUAUUUAUACUUUAAUAGUUUCUCAUGUGUUAUUUAAAAUGUUUUAAAAACAGAGCCCCAGGAGAGUAUUUAUAUUUGUAGUGAGGUCCAAUUAAGGUUACAUAUGACUCUGCCUUUAUCAGUUGAAUUGCUAUAAAAAAAUGUUUUAUUUUAUAUUUUCUUCUGUUGUGUUUCAGGGACGGGGUCAUCGCUCUCAAUCGAGAUAACCAGUCAACAGAUGAGCACUUGCCUGAUCAGAGGUCUCAUUUGUACGGCAUUACAGUUGCUCCUCCACACUGUUUAUAAGGGAGACGCUAAUGACAGAGCCAGCGUUACAUGGUGCUAUUUUGAGCUGUGGGAAUCACGACGGAGACGUGGACUCAGAAGAGAGCCAAUGGCAGAACCCGCAAGUCUCGACCAACGUCACUGUCAAUGCCAAAGUGCAAAUUUACAAACACGAAAUCUUGAAUAUUUUCUCAAAAUAGUUUGUAAAUUUGUUUAUACCUCAUUUUUCUUCUACUGUACUUUGUAUGUGACUUUUGUUAAAAAAAAACUAACAAAUUUAAAAAUACCCUACAGAGUUAGUUGUGUAAUUUGUAUCUCGACCAACGUCACUGUCAAUGCCAAAGUAGCAAAUUUACAAACACGAAAUCUUGAAUAUUUUCUCUAA
rnacentral:lncRNA from 1 species